GCGGUCGUGGUGUAGCCCGGUUAACACAUCUCCCUGUCACGGAGAAGAUCGAGGGUUCAAAUCCCUUCGACCGCG
rfam:Candidatus Kaiserbacteria bacterium RIFCSPHIGHO2_01_FTLL_53_29 rifcsphigho2_01_scaffold_1851, whole genome shotgun sequence.